UUAAAGUACGAGUUUAGAUGUCGGAAUUCCUAAACGAGUGCUUUAAUAAUCACUUCACGGCCGUGUAUCGUACAAAAUUUUAUUUCAUACUGUCUCAAUUUUGAGAUUUUUUUUAUUCUUUUACAUAGCACAUGUCAUCUUUAGUCGCAUCACCUUUGCAUCCGGUACCGUUGCAUAGUUACGCACGAAUUGUUUUGCCUUGUUCAUUUAUUUGUAAAAAAAAUUGAGGCGGCAUGUUCUUCUGGUGGUGAAUUUGUAAGGGUGAUUUGUUCAAAAAGUGAAGAAUCUGUAGAAAAUCUCAUCCCCAGAAAUCAGUAUCAGUUAUAUAGUUUGUGCUUGGCGAAAAAAGGUACAAUGAGGAUAAUGAUGUCAACGAAAACAUCAUGCUUUCUAACUUUUUGGAUGCGGCCAAAAAGUUCUCUAGUUCUACAUUGUGGUCCAAAUAUUCAAUGUGCAAAACCAUGAUAAAUGCAAACGCGAACAUUUCCAAAUAUGUCAAGUUGACAGCGCCUACAAAAGAUUACCUUUUAGUAAAGGACACAAAAACUCACGGUAGAGGUAGACGUAUUUGCAGUCAUUAAUACGUGCGAUGGAGUGAAUUUUUUUAAAUUGUGCAGAAAUUAUUGCAAUUUUCGCCCCAAGAAUAUGGUUGAGAAGGUGGCAAGAGGUUUCCACCACCACAGUCCCCAGCGAUGGGGGUGUGUCCACUAUUAAAAUUAGUGAGAAUUCUAAUUGUAUAAUUAAUAGUCUUAAGCUUUCGAAUGAUAA